GACGAGCCACACAAACGUUAUUCGGAAUUACUGGGCGUAAAGGGCGCGUAGGCGGCCCGCUAAGUCGAACGUGAAAUCCCCGGGCUCAACCCGGGAACUGCGUCCGAUACUGGCAGGCUUGAAUCCGGGAGAGGGAUGUGGAAUUCCAGGUGUAGCGGUGAAAUGCGUAGAUAUCUGGAGGAACACCGGUGGCGAAGGCGGCAUCCUGGACCGGUAUUGACGCUGAGGCGCGAAAGCCAGGGGAGCAAACGGG
rnacentral:rRNA from 1 species